GGCCGGAGCACCCCGACAGCUGCCGCGUUUCGCUGCUGAUAUUGUCGCGGACCGCACACGCACUCACACACACACAUGCAUAUUUACUGAUUUCUUCUCUGUUUGGCUCCUCCGUUGCUGCUCUUUUAUUGGUGCAUGGCAGGACCGUUUUCUUUUUCCUUUUGUUGUCAUGGACAUCGUACAGCAACUCUUUCGGUGCGUGUUCGGCGCUCUGAGUCCGUCAUGGCGGGGGCGACACCGCUCAGUGCUUCGUACCUCAGGGUCCAGCACACCCGCUCUCUGUGUCGGGAAGCCAAGCAGCCCCUUAUGUCCCUGCCGAUGCCAGACCACCUCUGGCGCAGACAGGGUCAAGCACCCCACGGCGCAAGGAGGGGCCAGAGCGAGCCGCGACAGUGCAGACGUGUGCGCCAUCCAUGGGAUGGGCAAUGCGCCAGCCUGACCCGCACCUACCUCACCAGGCCCUCACACUGCCCUGCCGGUGGGGUGGUGGGGAGCCUGGGCCACCCCGAUGGCGGCACCGCGUGGCGACCGGCACAAUGCGAGCGGCUGUGCGGCGACCUGCGAGGCGGGGAUGGUGGGCGGAGUCUGAGUCCGAGGCGAUGCUCCGAUGAAUGAGUAGGCGCAUCGCUGUAACGUGCGUGUGUGUGCGCGUGUUCGGCUGCUUCGCACGACGCGGAUGGGGGCCUGUGACAGGGCUGGUGUGUGUGUGUGUGGUGUGCGUGUGGUGGUGGGGAGGUGCAGCUUAGUUUGACCUCAUGCUCUAUGGCCGGAGUACUGCACAUGGCGAAAGAAGAACUGUUCGCUGCUUUCCUGUAUCCCUCCACGCUGUUCUCGGGACAGGGCGGUGCGAUAUGACCGGCGGGGCGCUCGGCUUGCCGUUACACUGUACACUGAAGGUGCGCUGCUUUGCUCUACCCGGCC
rnacentral:misc_RNA from 1 species